GGGUAAAAAUUAAUAAAAUAUAAAUAUAAUAAAAAAAUUUUUAAAUAUUAUAAUAUUAAUUAUUUUAAUUGGGGGGUUAAAGUAUAUUAAUAGAAAAAAUUUAAAAAAUUAUAGUGAAUUAUGUAUUGUAAAAGAAUUUUGAAAUAGGUGAAAAUAAAUUUAGUUUAAAGUAAUUUUAAUUUAAUGUAUCUUGUGUAUCAGAGUUUAUUAAAUAAUAUUUUUGUAUACUAAAAAAUUCUCGAAUUUAAGAGAGAUAAUUAAUUAUAAAAGUUAUUGUUACAUAAAUAUUUUACAUAAUUAAUUUGAAAUGAAAUGUUAAUCGUUCUUAAAUAUAUCUAGUUUUUUUAGAAAAAAAUUUAAUUUUUAAUUAAUUAACUAAAUAAUUAAUUAAUUAAUUAUUUAGUUAAUUAAUUUUAUAAUUUAAGGGAUAAGCUUUAAAUUAAAUUAAUAUAAUAAAAUUUAAUUUAAUUUUGAAAAUUAUAUAAUUUAUAUUGUUAAUAAAUUUUAGUUUAUUAUAAAUAAUUUCAAAAUAAAUAAAAUUUAAUAAUAAUUUAUAAUUAUUUAUAAAAAUAUAAUUUUUAAUAAAAAUAAAUUAAUUAUAAUGAUAAAAUUAGUAUAUAAUAUUAAUAUAUAAUUUAUAUUAAUUAAUAUUUAAGAAAAUUAUUUUAAAGGAAUUCGGCAAAAAUUUAUAUUCACUUGUUUAUCAAAAACAUGUCUUUUUGUAAAUAAUAUAAAGUCUAAUCUGCCCACUGAUAAAUUAUUAAAGGGCUGCAGUAUUUUGACUGUACAAAGGUAGCAUAAUCAUUAGUCAUUUAAUUGAUGACUUGUAUGAAAGAUUGGAUGAAAUAUAGACUGUCUCUAAAAUAAUAUAUAGAAUUUAAUUUUUUAAUUAAAAAGUUAAAAUAAAUUAAAAAGACGAGAAGACCCUAUAGAGUUUUAUAGAUAAAUAUAUUAAAUUUAUUUAUAAAUAUUAAAAAUUUUAAUUUAUUAAUUUAUUUUAUUGGGGUGAUAGAAAAAUAAAAAUAACUUUUUUUAAUAUAUUAUUAUAGUAUACAUAAAUAAGUGAAUAUAUGAUCCAAUUUUAUUGAUUAUAAGAAAAAAUUACCUUAGGGAUAACAGCGUAAUUUUUUUUUUUAGUACAAAUAAAAAAAAAAGUUUGCGACCUCGAUGUUGGAUUAAGAUAAAAUUUAAAUGUAGAAGUUAAAAAUUUUUGAUCUGUUCGAUCAUUAAAAUCUUACAUGAUCUGAGUUCAAACCGGUGUGAGCCAGGUUGGUUUCUAUCUUUUAUAAAAAAAAAAUAUUUUAGUACGAAAGGAUUAAAUAUUUAAAUUAGAUUUAUUAAAAUGAAUUUUAUUAAUAAAUUAUAUAUAUAUAUAUAUAGUAAUAA
rnacentral:rRNA from 1 species